rnacentral:rRNA from 1 species
CCUACGGGGGGCUGCAGUGGGGAAUAUUGGACAAUGGGGGGAACCCUGAUCCAGCCAUGCCGCGUGUGUGAAGAAGGCCCUCGGGUUGUAAAGCACUUUCAGUGAGGAAGAACGCCUGGUGGUUAAUACCCAUCAGGAAAGACAUCACUCACAGAAGAAGCACCGGCUAACUCCGUGCCAGCAGCCGCGGUAAUACGGAGGGUGCGAGCGUUAAUCGGAAUUACUGGGCGUAAAGCGCGCGUAGGUGGCUUGAUAAGCCGGUUGUGAAAGCCCCGGGCUCAACCUGGGAACGGCAUCCGGAACUGUCAAGCUAGAGUGCAGGAGAGGAAGGUAGAAUUCCCGGUGUAGCGGUGAAAUGCGUAGAGAUCGGGAGGAAUACCAGUGGCGAAGGCGGCCUUCUGGACUGACACUGACACUGAGGUGCGAAAGCGUGGGUAGCACACAGGAUUAGAUACCCGAGUAGUC